rnacentral:lncRNA from 1 species
AUCAACUAUUUUGGGUUUUAGUCUCCGAGUGGGGUUUCAACUUGAGCUUAUUUGACCCUCAGCUUUUUGUAUUUGUACGGUCUAGCGACAAUGGCUCUUACGCCUAGGGUCGAAGAGACCUUUUAUUGUAAGCUGGCGUUUGAGCUCUUACGCUUUUGCUCUUAGGAAUUUUAGUUAACUAUUUUUGGUUCAGUCUCUGAGUCGGGUAUUGUUAGUUUAUAUAAGUUCACCAAACUAUAUCAGAUUAUGCUUAGAAUGAUAUAAAUACUGAAAGUACAGAAGGCAAGGGAUUUUUAUGUGGAAAAAUCCCACAUAAGGGGAUCAAAAUACCACGACCUAGUCGUGUAGGCUUUUAACUUUACUAACUUGAAAUCUUCCUAUUCUUUGACGGGAAACACAAAGUGUUUUCAGACAAAGAACAACAAGACAUUUUUUUGACUCGACCCUUAUUUAGGGAGACAAAACUAAAGAAAAGAGAAUGUGACCGAGCCCUGGUUUUGCAGCUGCCAAGAUAUCCUUGGCUAUAAAGGAAUCAGGCCACGUGUAGUUCGAAGUGAGAAGCGCGAUGGAGAGGUGGAGAGUCGAGUCGCGUGCCGUCGAGGUUCCAGUUCGCGGUUCCUUCCAUUACAUUAAAAUAAAAUGAAAAAAUUACAGCAAAAUUAAAAGAAAAACACAAGAUCCUAUCUAUUCCCCUGUCUUGAAACAUCCUUGAAUCUCUACUUGAACUUCAAAAUGCAACUAAAAAAACAUGGACCCUGCUCUUCAAGUGGGCUCCUGAUGCUUCUUGAAUUUGUGAGUUAAAGUAACUCUGAAAUUAGCUCCCUCGUUCUCCAGGUGGGCGCCUGAUUGCAAAGACUUGAAAUGUAUUCCCUCGUUCUCCAGGUGGGCGCCUGAUUGCGAAAAUUUGAAAUAUAUUCCCUCGUUAUCCAAGUGGACGCCUGAUCGCUAAAAUUUGAAACGUAUUCCUUUGUUAGCCAGGUGGGCACCUAAUUGCAAAACUUGAAAUGUAUUCCCUCGUUAUCCAGGUGGGCGCCUGAUUUCAAAAACUUGAAAUGUAUUCUCUCAUUAUCCAUGUGGGCGCCUGAUUGCAAAAACUUGAAAUGUAUUCCCUCGUUAUCCAGGUGGGCACCUGAUACUGCAACAAAAUAAACAAAACAAAAGAAACUUUUUCUGCCCCAGUUUGGGAUCUGGUCAUAUUUGUGAGUGUUAAUCGGAUCAUAUCACCUACAGAACUCUAACAAUUUAAAAGCUAAUCCCAUUAUCCAGGAGGGUCCGGAGAAUUUUAAAAACCUAAAUCCCAUUAUCCAGGAGGGUCCUGAAAAUUUUAUAAACUAAAUCCCAUUAUCCGUGAGGGUCCUGAGAAUUUUAAAAUCUAAAUCCCAUUAUCCAGGAGGGUCCUGAGCAUUUAUUAAAACUAAAUCCCAUUAUCCAGGAGGGUCCUGAAACUUUUAAACUAAAUCCCAUUAUCCAAGAGGGUCCUGAGAAUUUUGAAAACUAAAUCCCAUUAUCCAGGAGGGUCGUGAGAAUUUUGACAACUAAAUCUCAUUAUCCAGGAGGGUCCUGAGAAUUUUAAUAACUAAAUCCAUUAUCUAGGAGGGUCCUGAGAUUUUUGAAAACUAAAUCCCAUUAUCUAUGAGGGUCCUGAGAAUUUUGAAAACUAAAUCCCAUUAUCCAGGAGGGUCCUUAGAAUUUUGAAAACUAAAUCCUACUAUCCAGGAGGGUCUUGAGGAUUUUGGAAACUAAAUCUCAUUAUCCAGGAGGGUCCUCAGAAUUUUGAAAACUAAAUCUCAUUAUCCAGGAGGGUCUUGAGAAUUUUGAAAACUAAAUCCCAUUAUUCAAGAGGGUCCUGAGAAUUUUGAAGCUAAAUCCCAUUAUCCAACAGGGUCCUGAGAAUUUUGAAAACUAAAUCCCAUUAUCCAAGAGGGUCCUGAGAAUUUUAAAAACUAAAUCCUUUUAUCCAGGAGGGUCCUGAGAAUUUUAAGGAACUGAGAGUAAACUUAUUUGAGCCAUGCUCUCAUCUUGGAGGAUUCUGAACAGAAUUUCUUGCUCCCUGAACCAUACUUUUCCAUGGGAGGUCCCUGCGAACUUAUCAAUUUCUUGCCCCUGCUUUACACAAAUAAAAUCUUGUUAGUUUGAAAAUGUGGUGGUUAGUUUGCUGCAUCAUUGUUGAACGUCUGCUUCCGCGACUCCCAUGCUUCAUUUUGAAUAGCUGCUUCGGGCUAGGAAAGAGUUGUUUGACCUUUUGAUUGAAAUCUGGACCACAAAAUUUCUGCAUGUCCUGAAUCCCUCACACUCACUUGUUGCAUUGUAUUUUUAUUUAGAAAGUUGUUGAAUCCUUGUAUUUCCUCAAAAUGCAAGAUUCACCUGAUUGCCUGAACCUCAAUUAUCACCAUAUUGUUUAUUCUGAACCAUGUCAAUUUUGAUGUGCCUGGCCAGAAUCGCUUUGUGCAAUUUAGAAGUUGGUAGUAGGCUUUGAAAUCCUUUCCUGCUUGUUUAACAAGGGCUAACUAGGAAGAAACUCAUAAAGACAGACUUAAGGAGUA